ACCACCACCCCCCCCCCCCCCCUCCCAUCACCAUCUCUCCCUUCCCUUGGCCCCAGAUCCACCAACCCAUGGCGCUGCCGGCGGAUCCGAGACCAAGCCCGCCUCCUCCUUGCGGUUGUUUCUCGAGCUGCUCUUAGUCGGAUCCACAGCGGCCACGCGGCAGAUCUGCAGCGUCUUCGGCUGAUCCACGCGGAUCCACGGUGCCUUGAGCCCUCCUGAGGUGAUUUUCUGCGUAACCCCUUGGCCUCGGCGGUUCCACCAAUCUCCGGUGCCGUCUGCUCGCCAUUCGCUCGAUCUGACGUCAUCCUGCUCCGAGCUCUGAAACCCCACGCACACAGACCUGAACCCUCCCCUCCUCGCUCCCACCGUGGUCAAAUGGCCCCCGCGGCCGCCGUCAUGAGGCGGGCCCACUUCGCCAACUCCUGCUUGUCGGCCGGCCGGCGGGCGUCUCGCUGGCUCCCCACGCGGCCUCGUCGCGGCGCGUUUCAUGGGAGCAGGGAUCUGGGGCGCCCAUCAGGGGACGAGUCUGGGCGAAGGCUGGUGGUUCGUUCGAGCAAGAUCGCAUUUGGGCGGGCGCUCCAGCUCGAUUAAAUCGUUGUAGCUGCACAUCCUCUACUGCUUCCUUGCCUGCACGGCCUUGGUCACCUAUGCACGCACGCAUCACCGAGCUGCAGGUAAAUGCAAGCAGGGUGAGAUACAACAAGAAAUCUUAGAAGGUUUGGUAGUUGAUGUUGUGGAUGAACAAGAGACAGAUAGUACAUUUGCACUUGUGUAUGUUGUAUGAAAAUGCUUGAAACAUGUCGAUGUAAUUAGUGUGAUUGCUAGUUUUAUGUGUUGGCUGUCGUGUGGUGUGAGAUAGUACAUUUGCACUUGUGUAUGUUGUAUGAAAAAGCUUGAAACAUGUUGAUGUUACAUACCUGUUGGAAACAAAUCAUAUAGUGGAUUUUGAAUGUGUGA